AUACUUCCCUUGCAGAGGAUAUACCAUGAUCACAAAGGUGGUUUUCCCAGGCUGAGGCUUAUCCAUUGCACUCCAAAUGUGCUGAUCCCUGCAAUUUCCCAAAUGUGGGAAACUUGACUGCAUAAUGUGUGGUAGUGGAGGACUAUAUUCAAGCUCUCUCCUA